CCCGCCUCGCCGCGUUCGUGUACGUACCGUGUUAGCGUGUUACUUAAUCAGUAAUAUAAGUUUACACAAGUGCCUUGUGGAUAAUAGUGUUGAUUAUUGGUGUGGCUGUUUGUGCCUAUGCACUAAGGCCAAAGCACCGUUACAGGGCAAAAAGUAAAAACUAAA